AUUGAACGCUGGCGGCAGGCCUAACACAUGCAAGUCGAACGAGUGGCGGACGGGUGAGUAAUGUCUGGGAAACUGCCCGAUGGAGGGGGAUAACUACUGGCAACGGUAGCUAAUACCGCAUACCAUCGGAUGUGCCCAGAUGGGCUUAGCUAGUAGGUGGGGGAAUGGCGCACCUAGUCGACGAUUCCUAGCUGGUCUGAGAGGAUUACCAGGCAAACUGGAACUGAGACAAGGGCCAGACUCCUACGUGAGGGAGCAGUGGGGAAUAGUGCACAAUGGGCGGAAGCCUGAUGCAGCCAUGCCGCGUGUAUGAAGAAGGCCUUCGGGUUGUAAAGUACUUUCAGCGGGGAGGCGUUACCCGCAGAAGAAGCACCGGCUAACUCCGUGCCAGCAGCCGCGGUAAUAC
rnacentral:rRNA from 1 species